UUUUGGUCAGUUUGGGAGGGAAUGUCUUGCGGAAAAUGUCUUACUCAGGAGUAAUUCAAGAACGGCCAUCUGCUAUCCGAAUGGAACGUUGGUUGUGGAGAACCCAUCACAUGGCCGUUUCAACGUUGCGGAUGUGGAGUCGGACACAUGCACACCGAGCUGGACUGCUGAUUUUACUUCGCUCAUCCUGGACAGCUGUGCUAUGGAUGUCUCUCACAGGGUGUUGUUUCGGAAGGCGCACCCACAGGGGCUGAUCACGGCAAACAACAGCUCGCCCCAGUACAUAUUGAGGUGUGACCAGAUACCUGUAGAGGGCGUAAUACAAACGGUUGAGGCAACCCUGGA